rnacentral:rRNA from 1 species
UAGGGAAUCUUCCGCAAUGGACGCAAGUCUGACGGAGCAACGCCGCGUGAGUGAAGAAGGAUUUCGGUUCGUAAAACUCUGUUGUUAGAGAAGAACAGCGCAUAGAGUAACUGUUAUGCGUGUGACGGUAUCUAACCAGAAAGCCACGGCUAACUACGUGCCAGCAGCCGCGGUAAUACGUAGGUGGCAAGCGUUGUCAGGAUUUAUUGGGCGUAAAGCGAGCGCAGGCGGUCAAUUAAGUCUGAUGUGAAAGCCCCCGGCUCAACCGGGGAGGGUCAUUGGAAACUGGUUGACUUGAGUGCAGAAGAGGAGAGUGGAAUUCCAUGUGUAGCGGUGAAAUGCGUAGAUAUAUGGAGGAACACCAGUGGCGAAGGCGACUCUCUGGUCUGUAACUGACGCUGAGGCUCGAAAGCGUGGGUAGCAAACAGG